UACAGAGGUGGCAAGCGUUGUUCGGAAUUACUGGGCGUAAAGGGCGCGUAGGCGGUCAGGUCAGUCCCGUGUGAAAUCCCUCGGCUCAACUGAGGAACUGCACGGGAAACUGGCCUGGCUUGAGUUCGGGAGAGGGAAGCGGAAUUCCGGGUGUAGCGGUGGAAAUGCGUAGAUAUCCGGAGGAACACCGGUGGCGAAGGCGGCUUCCUGGACCGACACUGACGCUGAGGCGCGAAAGCUAGGGGAGCAAACGGG
rnacentral:rRNA from 1 species